AUUGAACGCCGGCGGCAGGCCUAACACAUGCAAGUCGAGCGAGCGGCGGACGGGUGUGUAAUGUUUGGGGCCUGCCCGAUAGAGGGGGAUAACUACUGGAAACGGUGGCUAAUACAGCAUACUAUCGGAUAACCAUUAUUGGAUUAGCUAGUAGGUGGGUUAAAGGCUCACCUGGACGAUGCUCUCUAGCGGGUCUGAGAGGAUGAACAGCAACACUGGGAAUGAGACACGGCCCCGACUCCUACGGAGGAAGAAGUGGGGAAUAGUGCACAAUGUGAGUAAGCCUGAUGCAGCGAUGCCGCGUGUAUGAAGAAGGGCUUAGGGUUGUAAAGUACUUUCAGCGGGGAUGCUUUCGCUAUCGAACAAGGCUCAUUUUUUGGUGGGUUGAGGGUAGGUGGAGAAGAAGCGCCGGCUAACUACGUGCCAGCAGCCGCGGUAAUAC
rnacentral:rRNA from 1 species